UUGAACCCUGGUCUCCUAGCUGUGAGGUCUGCGCGCGAUAAAUUAUUUUUAGUGCAAAAUAAAUCAACACAUUAUGGUUUUCAACUGUUUGUCUAUAUGUGCCCUGUGAUUGGCUGCCGACCAGUCCAGGGUGUAUCCCGCCUCUUACCCGAAGACACCUCGUGAGGAUGAAUGAAUGGUUUUCAACCCAAAGGCAGCAGCUGGACCAUUACACCACCAGGGACUGACAGGCUGACUUAGUGCUCUACGCCUCACAGCAGCGAUGUACCCCCUUUGUGCAUUUAGGGCGCCUCUGCCUGAAUGACUGUAGACCUGUACACAACCAAUCUGACAUUUCACCCAAAACUCAUCAGGACUCAUCACUCAUUGGAUAACCAUUAUUGAGCUACAUGAAGGAAAAGGUAUGGAAUACCUGUUGGACAUGUUGUGAGAUGCAGUCCCCAGUGAUCUUCUUCCCAGGACGGACAGGGCGUAUGACAGAGUCACCAGAGGAGAGUCUUCAUCACUUUCCACAGGCUGGACAUAAACACAAACAUCAUGAAGACCCUAGACCAUGAGUGACCUGCUAAUUACACGCAACAACAAUCGUCCGGUGUCCCCGAUUAUUGCAGGUAAUUGUUUCCAGACCCGACAGUGCUAAGUGAAAUUUAGUGAAGUAGGAUUCAGUAUUCACAAAUGAAUAUUUUUAUAGUUAAAGCAUAGAAAACCUGUUUGUGACUUCUAGUAUAUGUUUUUUUAACCAUUUUUAGAGCCCAGUAGGCAUGAAAACAAUGUAAGAGGCCAAAAAUUUACCACUUCCACACGAAAUGGGAGGCUACCUUUUUUUCCCACGGCUGACUCAAUGCACUGUUCAGUACUGGAUCCACUCCAGGUAAACGUUACAGAAGCUGGCCCGCGUCACCCCCUGCAGGCAGUGCACGUAAUCCUCAUCUAUCUUGACGCUGAAGACCUGAGGGUCUCGCUCGAUGUGGUGCCACUUGGUGUAGGAUUGCAGCGCCUCGUAGAUGGCGGCGUCCUUCAGCCAGGUGGACAGUUUGGGCGAGUGGACCAGAUAGUAAAUGAUGCUCUGUAAGGAGAGGGAAGCGUGGAUGAGGACGGACGUCCUGCUGGUGAACUUCAGGUAUGGAGAGGGGUACCUUUAGGUAGUAGGUGAUGAGCAGCUUCCGGAGAUCGUAGACCUGCAGCAUGGUGGCGGCGUUGUUCUCACUGAUGCUGUAGCCCUCCAGCAGGUACUUGGUGGCCGUAACCUCCCACGCCAGCCAGCGCAGGUUGAAGGCGGCGUUGCACGACAGCAUGUGGGGCAAGUGUCCCGGCUCGCAGCAGCAACAGGCGUCGUCUUCCUCCACGCCCUCCGUGAUGGCCUCCACCUCUCGCUGCUGGCAGCCUCUCAACUGGAAGGUGACAAGCCCGUUGCCGAUCUCAAUGAGGUGCACCAGAGCGUUGAGGUAGUCCGAGGCCAGGAUGAAGCAGUCUCCGGCGCUGUAGUUGCCCCAGCGGCCCAGCGUGAGGUCGCCGCAGAGCGAGUGCUGCAGCGAGCGAGUCAGAACUUGAUGGGUCGCGGAUAGGAGGAAAUGAAGAUGGCGCUGCCCAGGAAGGGAGCCAGCGGCGUGUAGAAGACGGUGGUGAUCAGGGUCUGGAGCAGCAGCAUGGCCGAGUCUGAUCAGGAAAGGACCAACAUGAACUGCCAUGAUGGUGCUCGGUGGUCACCUGACCUUGUGGAAGAGGAUGGACAUGACGAAGAAGUCCAGCAGGAAGCUCUCGGAGGCGCGUGGGCAGUCAAAGUGGAAAAAAAACAGUGUGAAGAGCAAAGUCAGGAACUGAAAGCUCGGAUCGCAGAAGGACGAGCGCAGCAGUUUCAUCCCGGCGACCGUUGUCAGGAGGACGUCGCAGCUGCGGGCAAGGAGACACACACAUUCAAUGAUAGUCCUUGGA